UAGUCCACGCCGUAAACGAUGUCAACUAGCCGUCUGUGACCUUGAGUCGUGGGUGGCGUAGCUAACGCGCUAAGUUGACCGCCUGGGGAGUACGGCCGCAAGGUUAAAACUCAAAUGAAUUGACGGGGGCCCGCACAAGCGGUGGAGCAUGUGGUUUAAUUCGAUGCAACGCGAAGAACCUUACCAUCCCUUGACAUCCAGAGAAUUUACUAGAGAUAGUUUAGUGCCUUCGGGAACUCUGAGACAGGUGCUGCAUGGCUGUCGUCAGCUCGUGUUGUGAAAUGUUGGGUUAAGUCCCGCAACGAGCGCAACCCUUGUCAUUAGUUGCCAGCAUUUAGUUGGGCACUCUAAUGAGACCGCUCGCCGAUAAGGCAGAGGAAGGUGGGGAUGACGUCAAGUCCGCAUGGCCCUUACAUCCAGGGCUACACACGUCCUACAAUGGCUAGUACAGAGCGUUCCAAUACCGCGAGGUGAGGUAAUCGCACAAAGCUAGUCUC
rnacentral:rRNA from 1 species